CUAGCUGUAAAAUAUUCACCCACACCAAAACUCGCCAGGGAAUUACGAGCCCAAGCUUAAAACCCAAAGGACUUGACGGUUUCCUAUCCCCCUAGAGGAGCCUGUUCUAUAAUCGAUUCUCCCCGAUCAACCUCACCACUUCUCGAAUAUACAGCCUGUAUACCUCCGUCGCAAGCUUACCCUAUGAAAGCAUAUUAGUGAGCUUAAAGAUUUUUACACCCACACGUCAGGUCAAGGUGCAGCCCAUGAACUGGAAAGAAAUGGGCUACAAUCUCUACCUUAGAACAAACGAAAGACUGCAUGAAACACAGUUACUAAAGGCGGAUUUAGUAGUAAAAAGAAAAUAGAGAGUUCUUUUUAAUUGGGCACUAGGAUGCGUACACACCGCCCGUCACCCUCUUCAAUAAUAAAAGCUUUUAAUGUUUAUAACCUCACACAUUCUUACAGAAGAGGCAAGUCGUAACAUGGUAAGCGUACUGGAAAGUGCGCUUGGAACAAAAUGUAGCUUAAUAAAAAGCAUCUUGCUUACACCAAGAAUAUGUCUGUAAAAAUCUGACCAUUUUGAGCCUAAAACCCAGCCCCACCCUCACCAAAUGUAACACCAAUUAAUAAAUAACCAAACUAAAACAUUUUCUUAACCAAGUAAAGGCGAUUAAAAAGUUUCUAGGAGCCUCAACAUUAGUACCGCAAGGGAAAAGUGAAAUAAAAAUGAAAUAAGUUUAAAGCACAUUAAAGUAGGGCUCAGCCCCCGU
rnacentral:rRNA from 1 species